CCUACGGGAGGCAGCAGUGGGGAAUAUUGCACAAUGGGCGAAAGCCUGAUGCAGCGACGCCGCGUGAGGGAUGACGGCCUUCGGGUUGUAAACCUCUUUCAGCAGGGAAGAAGCGAAAGUGACGGUACCUGCAGAAGAAGCGCCGGCUAACUACGUGCCAGCAGCCGCGGUAAUACGUAGGGCGCAAGCGUUGUCCGGAAUUAUUGGGCGUAAAGAGCUUGUAGGUGGCUUGUCGCGUCUGCCGUGAAAACCCCGAGGCUCAACCUCGGGCGUGCGGUGGGUACGGGCAGGCUAGAGUGUGGUAGGGGAGACUGGAACUCCUGGUGUAGCGGUGAAAUGCGCAGAUAUCAGGAAGAACACCGAUGGCGAAGGCAGGUCUCUGGGCCAUUACUGACACUGAGAAGCGAAAGCAUGGGGAGCGAACAGGAUUAGAUACCCUGGUAGUCCAUGCCGUAAACGUUGGGCACUAGAUGUGGGGAACAUUCCACGUUUUCCGCGUCGUAGCUAACGCAUUAAGUGCCCCGCCUGGGGAGUACGGCCGCAAGGCUAAAACUUAAAUGAAUGACGG
rnacentral:rRNA from 1 species